CCUCGGGGGGCAGCAGUAGGGAAUCUUCCACAAUGGGCGAAAGCCUGAUGGAGCAACGCCGCGUGGGUGAAGAAGCGCUUCGGCGUGUAAAGCCCUAUCAGUGGGGAAGAAAAAGGACGGUACCCAAAGAAGAAGCACCGGCUAAAUACGUGCCAGCAGCCGCGGUAAUACGUAUGGUGCAAGCGUUAUCCGGAAUGACUGGGUGUAAAGGGAGCGUAGACGGUUGUACAAGUCUGAUGUGAAAGCCCACGGCUCAACUGUGGGAGUGCAUUGGAAACUGUAGAACUAGAGUAUCGGAGAGGCAA
rnacentral:rRNA from 1 species